GGGCCCAUAGUCCAGUGGUUAAAUUUUAAGGAUAUUUAAAAUUCCACAGAUGACGUUGCCCUUACAAGGCGAAGACCGGGGGUUCAAAUCCCUCUGGGCCCA
rnacentral:tRNA from 1 species